rnacentral:rRNA from 1 species
GACGAACGCUGGCGGCGUGCUUAACACAUGCAAGUCGAACGGAAAGGCCCUGCUUUUGUGGGGUGCUCGAGUGGCGAACGGGUGAGUAACACGUGAGUAACCUGCCCUUGACUUUGGGAUAACUUCAGGAAACUGGGGCUAAUACCGGAUAGGAGCUCCUGCUGCAUGGUGGGGGUUGGAAAGUUUCGGCGGUUGGGGAUGGACUCGCGGCUUAUCAGCUUGUUGGUGGGGUAGUGGCUUACCAAGGCUUUGACGGGUAGCCGGCCUGAGAGGGUGACCGGCCACAUUGGGACUGAGAUACUGCCCAGACUCCUACGGGAGGCAGCAGUGGGGAAUAUUGCACAAUGGGCGGAAGCCUGAUGCAGCAACGCCGCGUGCGGGAUGACGGCCUUCGGGUUGUAAACCGCUUUCGCCUGUGACGAAGCGUGAGUGACGGUAAUGGGUAAAGAAGCACCGGCUAACUACGUG